CCAAUAGCGUAUAUUAACGUUGUUGCAGUUAAAAAGCUCGUAGUUGAAUUUCAGGCCUGGCUGGACGGUCCGCCCUUCGGGUGAGUACUGUCUGUGGUCGGGUCCUACCUUCUGGCGAAGCGUCAUGGCCUUAACCGGCCGUGGCGGGGAACCAGGACUUUUACUGUGAAAAAAUUAGAGUGUUCAAAGCAGGCAAUCGCUUGGAUACAUUAGCAUGGAAUAAUGGAAUAGGACAAUGGUUCUAUUUGUUGGUUUCUAGGACCGUUGUAAUGAUUAAUAGGGAUAGUUGGGGGCAUUAGUAUUCAAUUGUCAGAGGUGAAAUUCUUGGAUUUAUUGAAGACUAACUACUGCGAAAGCAUUUGCCAAGGAUGUUUUCAUUAAUCAAGAACGAAAGUUAGGGGAUCGAAGACGAUCAGAUACCGUCGUAGUCUUAACCAUAAACUAUGCCGACUAGGAAUCGGGCGAUGUUGACAAAAUGACGCGCUCGGCACCUCAUG
rnacentral:rRNA from 1 species